rnacentral:sRNA from 6 species
UAUCUCUCCGUACGGGGAAGGAUGAGAAGCUUCGAAUAAGGUUCGAUUCGAGCGAAAGCGAGAAAGCGUUGCCGCAGGCAACGACCCGAAGGGCGAAGCGCGCAGCGCUGAGUAAUCCUUCCCCCGUCAUCC